UACGUAGGGGGGCGAGCGUUGUCCGGAUUUAUUGGGCGUAAAGAGCGUGUAGGCGGCCAGGUAGGUCUGCUGUGAAAACUCGAGGCUCAACCUCGAGACGUCGGUUGAAACCGUUUGGCUAGAGUCCGGAAGAGGAGAGUGGAAUUCCCCGGUGUAGCGGUGAAAUGCGCAGAUAUCGGGAAGAACACCCGUGGCGAAGGCGGCUCUCUGGGACGGUACUGACGCUGAGACGCGAAAGCGUGGGGAGCGAACAGG
rnacentral:rRNA from 1 species